rnacentral:rRNA from 1 species
GCAUAUCAAUAAGCGGAGGAAAAGAAACCAACAGGGAUGCCUUAGUAGCGGCGAGUGAAGCGGCAAAAGCUCAAAGUUUGAAAUCUGGCACCUUCGGUGUCCGAGUUGUAAUUUGAAGAUUGUAACCUUGGGGUUGGCUCUUGUCUAUGUUUCUUGGAACAGGACGUCACAGAGGGUGAGAAUCCCGUGCGAUGAGAUGCCCAAUCCUAUGUAAGGUGCUUUCGAAGAGUCGAGUUGUUUGGGAAUGCAGCUCUAAGUGGGUGGUAAAUUCCAUCUAAAGCUAAAUAUUGGCGAGAGACCGAUAGCGAACAAGUACAGUGAUGGAAAGAUGAAAAGAACUUUGAAAAGAGAGUGAAAAAGUACGUGAAAUUGUUGAAAGGGAAGGGUUUGAGAUCAGACUCGAUAUUUUGUGAGCCUUGCCUUCGUGGCGGGGUGACCCGCAGCUUAUCGGGCCAGCAUCGGUUUGGGCGGUAGGAUAAUGGCGUAGGAAUGUGACUUUGCUUCGGUGAAGUGUUAUAGCCUGCGUUGAUGCUGCCUGCCUAGACCGAGGACUGCGAUUUUAUCAAGGAUGCUGGCAUAAUGAUCC